UCCGUAGGUGAACCUGCGGAAGGAUCAUG
rnacentral:rRNA from 1 species